rnacentral:tRNA from 1 species
GACCGGUUGUCUCAGGCGACUGCCCGGUUGUUUCGGGCAACUGACUGGUUGUUUUGGCCGACCGACCGGUUGUUCCAGAUAACCAGCCGGUUG